UAUUGCACAAUGGAGGAAACUCUGAUGCAGCGACGCCGCGUGAAUGAUGAAGGCCUUCGGGUUGUAAAGUUCUGUCCUUGGUGAAGAUAAUGACGGUAACCGGAGAAGAAGCCCCGGCUAACUUCGUGCCAGCAGCCGCGGUAAUACGAAGGGGGCUAGCGUUGUUCGGAAUUACUGGGCGUAAAGCGCACGUAGGCGGAUCGGUCAGUUAGGGGUGAAAUCCCGGGGCUCAACCCCGGAACUGCCUUUAAUACUGCCGAUCUCGAGUCCGGAAGAGGUGAGUGGAAUUCCGAGUGUAGAGGUGAAAUUCGUAGAUAUUCGGAGGAACACCAGUGGCGAAGGCGGCUCACUGGUCCGGUACUGACGCUGAGGUGCGAAAGCGUGGGGAGC
rnacentral:rRNA from 1 species